rnacentral:lncRNA from 1 species
AAAUCUAAAUAUGAUUUUUAUGGACGAAGAGUACAUAGAGCAAUAUUAUGAUCCUACAAAUGAACCAUCGUUGAAUCUAAACAACCGAAUUAAAGCUGCGAUGCGAAAUCUUUAUAACAAAUACAAUAACAAUGUUCAGUUUGACGUAAAGUUACGUUCUAUAAAGGAUGGAAUAUCAAUAAUAAAAGAUGAAAUAAACGAAUUAAGAUUGCCUUAACUACGUUAGUUGACUAUUUUUAGUUGUUAUAAAUGUGCUCAUCGACUACAUUUGUUACUAACACAAUUCUUUUAUGCAAAAGUCUUAAACCUACUAUGAUAUCAAUAUGAAUAAUUACAAACAAUACUCUGUGUUAUUUAUCAUA